GAUGAACGCUAGCGGCAGGCCUAAUACAUGCAAGUCGAACGAUACUUUCCAGCUUGCUGGAAAGGAAAGUGGCGCACGGGUGCGUAACGCGUAUGCAACCUACCUUAAUCAGGGGGAUAGCCCGAAGAAAUUCGGAUUAACACCGCAUAAAAUCACAGUACAGCAUUGUACAAUGAUCAAAUAUUUAUAGGAUUAAGAUGGGCAUGCGUAACAUUAGCUAGUUGGCGGGGUAACGGCCCACCAAGGCGACGAUGUCUAGGGGAUCUGAGAGGAUGACCCCCCACACUGGUACUGAGACACGGACCAGACUCCUACGGGAGGCAGCAGUAAGGAAUAUUGGUCAAUGGAGGCAACUCUGAACCAGCCAUGCCGCGUGCAGGAAGACAGCCCUCUGGGUCGUAAACUGCUUUUAUUCGGGAAUAAACCUACUUACGUGUAAGUAGCUGAAUGUACCGAAGGAAUAAGGAUCGGCUAACUCCGUGCCAGCAGCCGCGGUGA
rnacentral:rRNA from 1 species